GUUCCUGCUCACAGACCUUGGGGACUGGAGGUCCUCAAGGAGCACGUUAUGACCGUUGCGGAGAGGUCCCCAGACCACCCUGCCCGAGGGGACACGUGCCGACCCACCGUGUGCAGAGAGGCUCCUUCCCAGAGCCCAAGGGGACAGAGAAAAAAGGUGAGGUUCAGAGAGCAAGAGACCGACCUUUGAGCCCACCCACAGUGAAGUUCCUCUUGCUGGAUGACCAGACCGAGGGUGCACGUUCCCUUCCUUGGACCCCACACCAAGAACUCCCACCUAUAGGAAGGCAUCUUGGAGCGUGGCAGCAAGAAGCUGCAGGGAAAAACGCAAAAAGCCAACCCACUCAAGGCCUGGGAACUAGGAAGAAGGAUAAAGUUCCCUGGGGCAGGAGGCUGGGGAUGGGGCCGGGGGUGUCCAGCGAGGAGUG